CCGAAUACUUUCGCAAGGCACUGUAGAUGAAGGACAAGUCUGACAAGGACUUGGAAGAUAGUCAUCAGAAGAAAGGGAUGGAGGAGAAGGAAGGAAGAAGAGCCAGUUGCUCAGCUGAAGGAAGAGAGAACGGCCAAAUGGAAAUCAAGUGCCAAGAAGACCUCAGCCGAACGUGACACUGAAGCAGGCUAGAGAUUUUUCGAUAUUAAAACUACUUUUCCCAGUAUAUGUACUUUAGGGUUAGUGUGCCCUUUGUUGUGCAGAUUCAUUAUAUAAAAAAAGGGGAAAACUCAUAAUAAUUGUUGUCCUUUUGGUCCCUCUGUGGUAUUCUCUUUGGAUAAAUACCAAAACAGGGCAGCAGUAAUUCAACUCUUACAGGAGGAACUUCUCAAUAGUCUACUUCACCCCUCAGGAAUGGCAGAGGACGUCUGAUUCUUUAUCCUCACCAAUUACAGGAGUAAUCUCACUGAUAGGUCCAGUGCAUUCGGAAAGUAUUAAAUUUUUUUUUUUAAAACCAAGCCAUGAGUUUGAAGGAAUUGUCCGUAGAGCUCCGAGACAGGAUUAUGUAGAGGCACAGAU